rnacentral:rRNA from 1 species
AACGAACGCUGGCGGCAUGCCUAACACAUGCAAGUCGAACGAGAUCUUCAGGUCUAGUGGCGCACGGGUGCGUAACGCGUGGGAAUCCGCCCUUUGGUUCGGGAUAACCGUUGGAAACGACUGCUAAUACCGGAUGAUGACGAAAGUCCAAAGAUUUAUCGCCAGAGGAUGAGCCCCGGUAGGAUUAGCUAGUUGGGGGGGUAAAGGCGACCCAAGGCGACGAUCCUUAGCUGGUCUGAGAGGAUGAUCAGCCACACUGGGACUGAGACACGGCCCAGCCUCCUACGGGAGGCAGCAGUGGGGAAUAUUGGACAAUGGGCGAAAGCCUGAUCCAGCAAUGCCGCGUGAGUGAUGAAGGCCUUAGGGUUGUAAAGCUCUUUUACCCGGGAUGAUAAUGACAGUACCGGGAGAAUAAGCUCCGGCUAACUCCGUGCCAGCCGCCGCCGUAA